AGUAAACGUAAGAUAAACAUACAGUUCUGUUGCUGCCGAGUUGGCCGUUAGUUUUCAUAAAACAAAGCGAUCAUAGUCUUCUUUUUAGAUACGAGUUCUCGUGUUAUUUCUUGCCAUCUUGUCUUCAAAUACUUGGCCAAGAAAAACGAAAACAGAAAUGGACGCCAAAGAAAAUCAAACACAGUUCGACAAAAACGCAAUGUCGACUAACGAGGAAAGUGCAAUCGUCGAGGCUUCAACGACGUCAGAUGAAAAUAAAAAAAGAUGUAAAGAUAUUGGACGGGUUCUUUCACUCGUUGGUGAUCAAUUUGAGAUCACAUAUUUGACAAGAUUUUUUAAUUAGCCGAUCGUUCAUAAAGUGCACAGUGCAGACGGUAUGUGCUGAUGUUCAAAACACUGUGUGAUGUAUAUAUAAAUAUAAAGAAAGAUAAAAUGGUUGAUAAUUUGAGUUGAACUCAAGCAUGUUUCAGUAACAAUAACUAAUAAAUAGCAUGUAAAUAGUUGCGUCUUUAAAGAUUUUUGCUGGACAAACAAACAGAAAUACAAUAGAUAAAAUUUGGCGUUGCUAAA